rnacentral:lncRNA from 1 species
CAAGCAUUCAUUCAAAUACAUCUCAGUACACCUCAAAUCAGUUUACAUUUUACUUCCGAUUACAAACACAAUGUAUUACAUCAUUUAUUUUACAAGUUUAGUACAUCUUGAUUCUAGCCUUCUAGACCCCUAAGCUAGACUGCCUCAGGGUACUGCUACCUCGGUCUCUGUGGUGGGGCGCUAUCUACUGAGCUACGCCCUCGCCUCGCGCCGCCGCGCCGCACACGAACGACCUGAAAACCCCAAAACAACGUGGGGUGAGAACCAACUCCAUGGUUCCCAGUGGGUACGGCCACCCAAGAGAAAAGUUCGACCAAUAGGUCUAAGUAGGCCCUGCAACAUGUCAGUUCAACAAUAUACAAUGCGAAUAUAUUCAAUUGAAAUACAUGUCAGGCCUAACAAUAUGCAAUAUGCAACUCAUGCAUCCAAACGCCUUUCUAGUAAAUUACUUGGUUCUACAGUUACUUAGCUACUUUAGCUUACAUCUUUACUCUAAGGUCUCUAUUACCUUAGCUCAAACCUCUAUCUCUAGCUCAUAAGGGUUCCUCUACCCUAUCAUAGCUAACCACCCGACUCGGCUUCGAGUCAAUCAUCCGCGGAUAGCCCGCGCGCUGGCUGCUCAACAGCCUACCGCUCUCAGCCCCCUAGCGGCGAAGUCGUCGCACACGCUAAGCUCGGCUCGAGUCGCACGACCUGUCCAUCUGGUGGCAAUCGCGUUGCUCUUACCCAGCGUGGGCGCGAGACAUGACAUACCGUCUGGCGGCGAACGGAUCGCACCACACCCAACAACGGUCAUGUCAAACUCAGCCACCUGGAUGCACCCGUAUCGUACUUACCCAGCAUGGCAUUAGUCUGCUCUGGCGGCCUGAUCCUCAAUGGCUUAACCAUCCUGGCGGCGAAAACAUCGCACAAACGCCACGGCAAUGGCUCAAGCCCCGGGCGGUGAUCUCCACGUGGUCACGCCCAAUCUACCCACAGUACCAAGCUCGGCGGCGAAGUCGUCGCACACACGCCCUAGCUUGUACUAGGGACAUCAAAAGUCCUGGGAUUUCGGAAUCCACUUUCCACAGGUCGAGGGUUCAUAACCAACCCUAUAUUGUCGACCUAUCUCAUCCUAGUGGCUAUACCACUAUACUCAUCAACCUAGGUUCCAACACUCUAGGUUCUAUGUCCAUGUCGCUUAACCUAGGUACACUUGCUAGGUUCUUGUCCUCUUUGCCUAGAUGUCCAUUUCUAGGUUUACUAGAUCGACCUAGGUUUACUAUCACUAGGUUCAAUGCCACACACCUAGAUUGUUCGACUCUAGGUUCACUAACACUAGGUUAGAUGCCACUCGAUCUAUCUGACAACCUAGUUGUCCAAUCCACUCUAGAGUUAUUACCUCAUGCUUCUCACUUAGCAUUUACUCUAUGCCUCUUCAUGCCUCAUGCAUCCUACUUAGCAUUUCUAUCUUAUGCAUUAUUGUUAGCACGCGUUCUUUACAUUACUUAACAUUUACUCUAUGCAUCUUAUCUAAUAUGCAUUCUUACUUUACUCAUGUCUACACGCACAUGCAUCAACAAAUGAUUACAUUGCUAAGACAUAAAGGGCGACCUAGUCGCUUCGGUAAGCACAACCCACCUUAGGUAGCUUUCCGAUUGCUCGUCGACACUUGCAAUCGGCCUCCCGCGGCACUCGGCACCCGCUUGGGCCCGAUCCUACAGUGGCUCCCCAAGAGCGCGUCGCUUCGCUGUUUCGAGUGUCGGCGACCUUCGCCUUGCCGCUACGGUGCUCGGGACCCACUCUCACAAUUUGUGGACGUCGCCUUGGCCUCCCAGGCGGAAACGAAGCUCCGAGCGCCCGUUUCUUCAACACCUUCGCGACGGCUCGUCGGAUCGCCGAACCGACUUCGCCAACGUGUUUCGUUACCUACCAAUUAGGUUAACAAGGGGUCAAAUGAGAUCAAUCUCAUCUAUUUACAAAAACCCCACUUUGAUGCCCUAGAUGCCAUUAUUGCCAAAUCCACCAAAUCGAUCUAUGAUUUGGGGUGAAAUCAUCUAAAUAGCAUGCUAGGGUACCACUAAAUCCAUUUCUAGGGUUUUAGAACCCAUCUCAAAGAAAUCACAUGAGAAGCCAUGGAACUCACCUCUCCAAGAGCUCCAAGGAGAAGAAGAAGACGAAGAGGAUGACGAUGGCGACGAUCUCCUGCAUCUCCUGCAUCUUCUCCUUCUUUUCCCUUCUCUCUUUUCCUUUUCUUUCUUUCUUUCUCUUUUCCUUCUUUGCUUCACGAUCAGAGAGAGGGAGAGAGAAAGAGGCUGAGGGAGUGUGAGAGAGAGAGAGAAAUAUCCCUCUCUAAUACCCUCUCACAUAUUGUAACAAUAUCCCCAAAGGCCCCUCAACUUUUCGUCUCUUACACAGCCCUCUCUGGGCAUCCUGCGCGCGGAGGGACCGGUCUCCCCGACCUGGGACCGGUCCCCGGGGCCUUCCCCCGCGGACACGCGUUCGGGAACCGGUCCCUCCCUGAGAGACCGGUCCUCGGGAGACCGGUUCCUCUCAGAGAGACCGGUUCCCGAGAGCUAUACUUCCGGGACUUAGCCGAUUUUCGGCUCUUCUCACUGAUGUCGAAGGCUGGGACCGGUCCCUCCUCUGCCAGGGACCGGUUGCAUCAGCAACCCCACAGCCUUCGGCUGAUGGGACCGGUCUCUCACCUCCAGAGACCGGUCCCCGAGAGCAACUUCAGCCCAAAAAUGCUAUUUGCAUUACUUGCUCUCGCGGACUCCAUUCUAAUACACUUCUCAAUUCUCGUGCAUCCUAAGCUUUUCCAAAGCUUAUCCAUUCGACCAUUAGUCGAUUCUGGACGAAGUGCAACCCUCGGACUUCGAGGAUUCACAUUGUUACAUUCUCCCCUCCUUAAAAGAGUUUCGUCCGCGAAACUCACUCAUUUCUAACCCCUUUAUUCCUCGACCCACUUCUCGAGUACUCAAGGGUUUCAAUGCACUUUUGCACCUCGGAGUGGCCUUUAUUCUCAUUGAAUUCAUCAAAAAGCCCACCACGAAGAACGUGAGGCCACAAUUACUCAUAUUUUCUCACUUGCAACAUCAAAAGUGCAUUACCACUUACAAAUCUCAAUGAUAGCGUGAGUCAUCACUCACAACUACAUGCACCAACGCUAACAGCCACUCGGCUUAGGCAGAACCACCCUUCGCUCUAUGGUGUGGAUUUAGCACGGUCGCAUCCCCGCGAUGAUCGAUCCACCACCACAAUUCUAUGUGUACGGGUAGACUCUCUCGAAUUACUCAAGUACUCACCAGGUGGUACUUCACCGACUUUGGCUAUACGAAGCCCGAAACCACCUUAUCAUCUCAUCGUCUCACCCAUACCAUCUCACCCAUCAGGAGAUGGCGUUCUUUCGUGCAUCUUGGAUUCUCAAUCCUUUUGAGAGCAUCAGUCUCGAUUUCAACUUUUCUCGUGGCUACCCAUUAUUCAAGCGUCUCCUAGAGACCACCUUCCUUUCUCCUGGCAUUAUAGGCCGCGUUCAACUUCACGUGAACUCCUCGUUCGCGAAUCCGAGCCCAAACUCACUAAUAGAGUUUUCGGCUAUACCGAUCGUCACUUCCUCAGGUGGACUAAGACCACCAGUUCCUACGUAGGUCAAUCGCUUAACUCAUCUCAAUGACGCCUAGCGUCACUCGCUCGCGAGCGCAGACCCAAUCAAUAUUCUCGGGCGACCUUCUCAUUGAAGAAUUCGCACGCACUCCAAACAGGAGCAUCCAAGUCCUCAAGUCGGGUCACUACACACUUGGCGUACUAUCGUUCUCACGAUCCUACGUGGCAUUCCACGCACUCGGGUCUAAGCUCGGACUACCGUCCUGACCAGAACUCUCCGCCCUACCUAUAGGUAUCGGGCCGCUGUCUCUCACAGCUGACUGCGCCUGCCCAAUGGGCCCAGGCUCCACAGUCCACAAAUGGUCCAGGCACGGGUCGUCCCCAAGCACUACCCGCCAACGUUGUCCUAUACGACAUGCUCUACAGAGCUACCCACUCUAUCGGCUCCUAGGCACCUAGUGCGAGCCACUAGCCCUCACGAGUGAUCCAUGGCCCGCUUCACACUUAGCCCUGCUAAAGUGCUACUGCCAAUCUACUCGACCGGCUGAAUCGAAUUCGCACCUCACGAUAAACUAUACUCGAGCACUUUACGCCUCCAUAGCGUCUCACACGAAAUCUGGCAUCAGGCGACUUAGCCUAUGCGCCCCGGCCACACGAGCAACCGCUCAUCUACCUCAAUUCGAGGUACUACUAGGCCCACAGGCCAAGUUCGGCACUACUCAGCUACUCUCUCAACAGUGAUUCUACUUUCACUGUUCGAUUCGUCAAAACAACAUCCGAGAUGCUCAGGCUACUCGAGUACUCGCGAUGUUACAGCGUAAUUCUCGCAAUUCGGUACUACUCAACCAAUUCCGCAACAGCGGCUCCUCACCACUGUUCGAUCUACCGAAUCCACAUCUGGAAUACUCUUGGGAUAUUCGGGUGUCCCCAAACAUCAAGGCUAAACUCUCGUAAUCUCUAAUCCAAUGCUUCGAGAGUCCCUUCACCACUCGAUUUCCCUUCGAGCCUCGCCUCCUAUCCAAAAUCGCCACUAGCCAUUUGCUAGGGUCACUUGGCUUUCUACCUACUCCAGUAGGCGCCAUACUCUCAUCCUGCUAGCAUGCUCGGGUACCUACUUGCCCGACCACUCGGUCUCUACUAUGCAAUGUAGUAAUAGUAGCAACUGACCAAUAAAAAAUGCACGCUAUGCACCAACUUGAGAUUAGUAAAAGCACAUGCUUGCUCAAUUAACUCAUACCUGCCACGACGACGUCAACAACGGCAGGCACCGCAACUCGGAUCGCUUAUCCAUGGCCACUUGGCGCUCGUUGCGAACCCUCUGGUUGCAACGUCCUCAACGGCUGCUCCCCUGACCAUGUCGCAGGUGGCACACCCGCCGGCUGUCCCAAGGAGGAAUGGGCCGUCGCUAGUGUCAGGGCCCGGCUAUCACCUAGCAGACACUCGUCCCGCACAUGACCCGGCAGCCCACACUUGAAGCACCUGCCCUCGCGCUGUUCACACUGCUGUGGGAAAUGAGGGCCUCCACAAAUCACACAUCUCGCCGAGGACCGAAUGUGAUACGUCCCCGGAGCUCUAGAUCGAGAGCGCGUCCUCACUGAGGUCUGCUGGGAACUCGACUGACCAUCAAGUCCCCCUACUGGCCGUCCCUUUCUUUUUUCCUUGUAAUGCUCCUCGCGCUUCUCCCGCAGGAAUGCAUUGCCUUGUUCUACCCACAAGGCCCGAUCCAGGACUUUAGCGAAAGUCUGUAACUUAAGCAUCAGCACUACCUGGUACAAAUCUGGCCGAAGCCCACGCACGAAGUAGUCAGCCUUGUCCUCAUCGUCCCGCACCACGUCUGGGACGCAAUGUACGAUACGGGAAAAUUCCCGCUCGUAUUGCCUAACCGUGCGGCUCCCUUGUCGCAGAUUAAGGAACCUCUCCUUAAGCUUCUGCUUCUCACUAUCGGGGAAAUAAGCAGAGAAUAUUAAUCCCCGAAAAUCUUCCCAAGUCAUAGGAGGGAGACUAGGUGGUCGGUCUUGCCUGACGCCCUUCCACCACACCUUCGCCGAUUGUUUAAGAUAAUGGGCAGCUAGGCUUACCUUGUCUCGCUCCAACGUGUACAGAUCCUCGAAGAGUGUUUCCAUGGAAUCGAUCCACAUCUCUAUGACCCACGGAUCUGCAUCUUCACCAUCAAAGGUAGGCGGAUCAAACUUCUUGAAAGUCAUGAGGGCCACUAAAGCUCGCUCCCUCUCCGCCGCAACCUCCGAACCAACGAAAGUCGGGUCGCCCGACCCCGACGGAAACAGCUUCGCCGCGAGUCCCGGCUGUCCUCGACCAGCCGCAGCUGGUGCUGCCACCAGCCGAUCCACGGUCUCUUGGAGUCAUUCCAUUCGCUCCUCCUGGCGCAUAGCAGCCUCCUGCUGCCGCUGUACCAUAUCAGCUUGUUGCCUCAUCACUCCUAUGAGUGUGGCCAGCUGAUCACGAAGCUCUGCACCUUCGCUCGUGUCAGUUCGCUCAGGGGCACCACUCGUCCCCUCCCGCGCCGAUCUAGAUGAAGAUCGCCUUCGCGGUGCCAUCGUUUCCUGAAACAGGACAACUCGAUUAGCUCUCGAUCGACCUGGGUCGAACACGAGACCACUAACACGGCUCAAAGCCAAUCUGGCGAAAGUCAAACAAGGGUGUCUAUCCUCAUCACUCGGUUUCACAUUGUGUGCACCCAACAUGAACACCCUCGGCUGAGAAUAAACAUUACCUUGAAUCUACCUCUAAUGUCCAUCUUAGAGGUUAUAACACGACCCAAUCCAUUACCUUUCGCCGCAAAUCGCAAGUCCUCGUCUCUCACGAGCCUUAUUCUCCUAUGGUUUACUAUCCUAGGGUCUCCUAGGUCUGCCUAAACCAUUUUCUUCCCAGUUCUACUUUAUGCUCUGAUACCAUCUUAUCUGUCACGCCCCGCGACCAACCGCCUAUUUGGACCGGAUCGCGGCGCCGACGACAGACUGCCGGACGGACCGGGAAUUUCCCUGUACGCGGACAGAGCCUCCCCAGUAUGUCCAAGGCGUCGCAAUCCAAACAAUCAACGAAUGUUCCAACAAGGAACGGAUAUCAAUCCAGAUUGCAUAAGUAUCAAAUACAUAAUCUACUUGCUAUUACAAGCAUUCAUUCAAAUACAUCUCAGUACACCUCAAAUCAGUUUACAUUUUAUUUCCGAUUACAAACACAAUGUAUUACAUCAUUUAUUUUACAAGUUUAGUACAUCUUGAUUCUAGCCUUCUAGACCCCUAAGCUAGACUGCCUCAGGGUACUGCUACCUCGGUCUCUGUGGUGGGGCGCUAUCUACUGAGCUACGCCCUCGCCUCGCGCCGCCGCGCCGCACACGAACGACCUGAAAACCCCAAAACAACGUGGGGUGAGAACCAACUCCAUGGUUCCCAGUGGGUACGGCCACCCAAGGGAAAAG